GCUGUAAUAGCUCAGUAGGUAGAGCGCAACAUUGGUAGUGUUGAGGUCACCGGUUCGAUUCCGGUUUACAGCU
rnacentral:tRNA from 1 species